GCCAAAUGUUAUGGUUAUCUUAUUUUAGAAACUGCCACAGACACUUCAACCUUCAACAACCACCACCUUGAU